AACGAACGCUGGCGGCAUGCCUAAUACAUGCAAGUCGAACGAUCACUUCGGUGGUAGUGGCGCACGGGUGCGUAACGCGUGGGAAUCUGUCCUUGGGUUCGGAAUAACAGUUGGAAACGACUGCUAAUACCGGAUGAUGACGUAAGUCCAAAGAUUUAUCGCCCAAGGAUGAGCCCGCGUAGGAUUAGCUAGUUGGUGAGGUAAAGGCUCACCAAGGCUACGAUCCUUAGCUGGUCUGAGAGGAUGAUCAGCCACACUGGGACUGAGACACGGCCCAGACUCCUACGGGAGGCAGCAGUAGGGAAUAUUGGACAAUGGGGGCAACCCUGAUCCAGCAAUGCCGCGUGAGUGAUGAAGGCCUUAGGGUUGUAAAGCUCUUUUACCCGAGAUGAUAAUGACAGUAUCGGGAGAAUAAGCUCCGGCUAACUCCGUG
rnacentral:rRNA from 1 species